ACAAACAGUGAUAAGUAUAAUUACUAAUUAAGUUGAAGUGUUGAUCAGUAUAAUAUAUUGUUUGAUAGUAUAUAAGGUGUAAUAGGUGUAUAGGUGUAAUACUAUUUAACAAAUGUAAUAAUUAGGGCCCGAAAUUAUAUGCACUAAAAACUAUCAACGAAAAACGCAAAAAUAUGCAAACAAAAAUGCAUUUUAAUUAAAUUUAUUUAGUUUAAAAAUGUAUACAAUUCAUUAAAUAAUUAUAUUAAAUUCCGUAAAUAUCUUACGAACCAUAGGUAUACAUGGACGGUAAAACCAACGAACAAUAGUAAGACAAUUGGGUAUGAAACACUUAGGUAUUCGACAAAAACGCGAUGAAAAAUCGUUAAAUAGAGAAAUAUGCAGUACACAUCAAAAAAUUGCAAAAUAUGCAAAAUAAAACUGCGUAUUUCGGAUUUAUUGACUAUAAUUCUAACUUGUAGCUUAUCUAGCUACUUUUUGGACGGCUAAAAGAAACAUGCAAAUGCGUAUAAACCCGGGCCUUAAUUAAUUACUUUUUUUCUAUUGAAUAUUUAUUUGUGACUCUGCGCUAUAAUUUUUUAAUUUUAUUUAUACUUUUUUAGUAGUGAAACAAAAAUAAAAAAAUUUAGAUUUUUAUAAUCCAUGUAAGAUUAUAAAUAAACUUUUAAAACAAAUUUUCGGUGUUUAAAACGUAAUUAGUUAACGUGAUAAAUUUUUAAAAAAUUUUUAAUU